rnacentral:lncRNA from 1 species
AUUUUGAAGUGUUUCUGAACACCAGUUAUGGGUUUGAAGUGGAGGAGGGUGAUGACCUCACAAUGGAGUGUGCCCACGACCUACCGGUGAGAGAUCAUGACCUGCUGGUGUUUGUCUGGCUGAAGGAUGGGCUUCCCCUGAAGGGCGAGAACAAUAGCACGGUCACCUUGGAGAGGAUAGGAAUAGAUACCCCUGCUGAGGGGAAAUACACCUGCACCAUCCAGAGUCCCUGUGGCAACUUCACCUCAGAUCCAGAAGAACUUGAAUUUAAAGCGAAGACCAAGACCAGGAUGCAGCAGAAUACUCAGAACCUACAGAACACCGCCAACACAACAGAGUAGGGUUUCCUUUUUUCCAAAAACCUACCCAUUUUCUUCCUGAGAAAAUUGCAAGCUUUUCCCGGGCAUCCAUGUAUUCCCGUUAAAACAGGAAAGGCUUUUUAAAAGAAUAUAAUGUGAGCAAAAAAAAUCUGAUUCACUGUAAAUGGAGAAACAUACACACGUGUCUAACUGUUUCUUGCUCUAUUUGUUGCAAUUUAAAGGUCCAGUGCAGACGUUUUUAUCUCAAUAUCAAAUCAUUUCUGGGUAACAAUUAAGUACCUUACUGUGAUUACUUUAAAUUAAAAUGGUAAAAAGAUUUUAAAAAAAUGUGCUUCUUACCAAAGAGCAUUUUGCUAGGACUGUCUGGGACUGGCCUGAGUGGUGAGGGGAAACUGAACAUGUUCUGUUAUUGGCAGAGAGGUUUGGAACUCUCUUUCUUAUUGGUCUAUUAACUAAUUUACCGCCUCCAAAACUUUCAAAACUUUUCACAAAUUCACAGUAUUAUUCCAAACUCUAGGAAAUCACGUUUUUCACUGCACUAGGCCUUAAAUCAACAUAAAGUUCCCUCAAAAUCACCACACUAUUUCGUUGAUGUUGCCUAGUUUUAAUGUAGGUCUAUGAAGCACUGUUGGCC